CAAACUGUGACUGUGCUCUGGGUACAGAUGGCCGUGACGUCGUGGUCUUUGUAGCGGCUGCUGCAGUGAUGUUAAGCCCAGAAAAGGUGGCUGUCAGUCGGGCACAAAGCUCAACAAUGGC